UACGUAGGGUGCAAGCGUUGUCCGGAAUUAUUGGGCGUAAAGAGCUCGUAGGCGGUUUGUCGCGUCUGCUGUGAAAUCUGGGGGCUCAACCCCCAGCCUGCAGUGGGUACGGGCAGACUGGAGUUCGGUAGAGGAGUGUGGAAUUCCCGGUGUAGCGGUGAAAUGCGCAGAUAUCGGGAGGAACACCAGCGGCGAAGGCGGCACUCUGGGCCGAUACUGACGCUGAGGAGCGAAAGCGUGGGGAGCGAACAGG
rnacentral:rRNA from 1 species